ACCGAGACAUAAGGAGAAGAUAAAGGCAAGCUCAGUGAUUAUAUAAACAUACGAACAUCACCCAAAUAAUACCUCCCCCCAUUGGUUGCUUCUUCCAUUUUCAUCAUCCAACCUUGAUUUUCCCUCCUUUGUAUCAGAUCGGGGAAGGACUUCCGGUCUUAAGCUAUGGUUGUUGAAAGCAUGGUUUCUACUCCGUAUCGGAGGUCGGUACCGAUGAGGAAGCAACCCCAAGAGUUUGGUAGCUUUUCAACACUCGUUCAGAGGCAUAGAUUCCUCUUGACCACUUUUGGUUUCUUGACAAUCCUUUGUACGAUCUACCUUUACUUCGCCGUUACUUUAGUGGCCUCGGAUACGUGUUCCGGCUUGAAAGGAACACAGAGACCGACAUGCCAACACCGUCACGCAACGUCGAUAAUGUACAAUGGGAAACUGAAAUUUCUUUAGUAUGUUUAUGGUAAAUUGAGGGCUUAUAAUUAUCUAUGUUCACAUACAAUGUCUAAUAUUAAGUUGGUCUCAUUUCUUA